GGCUGGUCCAAUGGUAGUGGGUUAUCAGAACUUAAUAGUUAUUAGUGUCACGAAAAUUAGUAUACAACGCCUACCGCUAAAUUUGACUGGCGUUAA
ensembl:misc_RNA Y_RNA Y RNA